rnacentral:rRNA from 1 species
GACGAACGCUGGCGGCGUGCUUAACACAUGCAAGUCGAACGGAAAGGCCCUGCUUUUGUGGGGUGCUCGAGUGGCGAACGGGUGAGUAACACGUGAGUAACCUGCCCUUGACUUUGGGAUAACUUUAGGAAACUGGGGCUAAUACCGGAUAGGAGCUCCUGCUGCAUGGUGGGGGUUGGAAAGUUUCGGCGGUUGGGGAUGGACUCGCGGCUUAUCAGCUUGUUGGUGGGGUAGUGGCUUACCAAGGCUUUGACGGGUAGCCGGCCUGAGAGGGUGACCGGCCACAUUGGGACUGAGAUACGGCCCAGACUCCUACGGGAGGCAGCAGUGGGGAAUAUUGCACAAUGGGCGGAAGCCUGAUGCAGCAACGCCGCGUGCGGGAUGACGGCCUUCGGGUUGUAAACCGCUUUCGCCUGUGACGAAGCGUGAGUGACGGUAAUGAGUAAAGAAGCACCGGCUAACUACGUG